GAGCAAUGGAGGCUUCAGCAGUGGCUGUUCCCACCUUCACCAUAAGCCAGCCCCGCUUGUCUCUCACAGGAUCCCUCCUCCUGCUCCUGGCAUGCUCCUGGCAGCCAUGAGCCCGCCCGGUUGCAUGCCCACUCGCCUCUGCCUGGAGGAGUGCUGCCGCGGGGGCGCGCCCCAGGUCCCCUACCCUGAGCCCUGAUGCCCAGCUCCAGCGUCAAGAUGCCAGAAGAACAAGAACCCAGCGCCGGCCUGACCUACCCAGCGCCUGCGCCCCGGCCUGCAAGACACCACGCCCUCCUCUGCUCUGCGUGGUGCGUGGAGGGGCCCCUUCGGAUCGAUCGCAGCCGCUGCCACCAUAGCCGCCACCAUAGUCGCUGAGGCAGGCGUCAGUGGGAAGGACCUGAGAGUGGCUUUCCCAGCCGGCUGCCACACAGGACCUCUGGAUGCUUAGCCCGCCCGGCCGAGAGCUCUAAAGUCAAGGCAUGACUUAACAGCUUAUCUUGGAGGAGAACAGCUCAACUCAAAGGCAGAUUGCCAGUUCGGAGUUUAUUACAAGCAGAACUGCUAUGAUGUGCUUUUAGCACUGAAGUGAACUCCAUUGUAAGUACAGAAAGUGGCAUCUCUGCUUUCCCCCAGAAGCACAAUCGUAUACACCUUGCAGACUUGAAUCACUGAAGAUGUAAGCCAACUGUUACUCUGAGUUUCGGAGACCCCCUGUGGACAGCAUGAAGCCUGUCCCUGAUCAAAGUCUUAGUAAGCAGGAAGGAGUCAAGGUUAAGGAAUGCGUCUGAUUACCCUGAACUGUAGUACCUUGGAAAGUGAACCAAGGCUUGAGUUUUGUUCUGGAAGCCUGCCUUGCCUGCUUCUGUAAUCUGGCGCUCUGCAUGUGAAUCUUGGAUCUAUAUGGACACUGCUAUAUGUUACUGUCAUGAUUCUC
rnacentral:lncRNA from 1 species